GUGCCAGCAGCCGCGGUAAUACUGAGGUCCCAAGCGUUGUUCGGAUUUACUGGGCGUAAAGGGUGCGUAGGCGGCUAGAAAAGUUUGGUGUGAAAUCUCCGGGCUCAACCCGGAAACUGCAUUGAAAACUAGAUAGCUAGAGGACCGGAGAGGAGAUUGGAAUUCUCGGUGUAGCAGUGAAAUGCGUAGAUAUCGAGAGGAACACCAGUUGCGAAGGCGGAUCUCUGGACGGUUCCUGACGCUGAGGCACGAAAGCUGGGGUAGCGAAGAGGAUUAGAUACCCUCGUAGUCCCAGCCGUAAACGGUGCGCACUUGCUGUGGGCGGAUUCGACCCCGUCCGUGGCGAAGCUAACGCGUUAAGUGCGCCGCCUGGGGAGUACGGUCGCAAGAUUAAAACUCAAAGAAAUUGACGGGGGCCUGCACAAGCGGUGAGUAUGUGGCUCAAUUCGAUGCAACGCGAAGAACCUUACCUGGCCUUGACAUGUAGUGACCGGGUGCGAAAUCACCCUUU
rnacentral:rRNA from 1 species